GACGAACGCUGGCGGCGUGCCUAAUACAUGCAAGUAGAACGCUGAAGGAGGAGCUUGCUUCUCUGGAUGAGUUGCGAACGGGUGAGUAACGCGUAGGUAACCCGCCUUGUAGCGGGGGAUAACUAUUGGAAACGAUAGCUAAUACCGCAUAAGAGUAGAUGUCGCAUGACAUUUGCUUAAAAGGUGCAAUUGCAUCACUACCAGAUGGACCUGCGUUGUAUUAGCUAGUUGGUGAGGUAACGGCUCACCAAGGCAACGAUACAUAGCCGACCUGAGAGGGUGAUCGGCCACACUGGGACUGAGACACGGCCCAGAGUCCUACGGGAGGCAGCAGUAGGGAAUCUUCGGCAAUGGACGGAAGUCUGACCGAGAAACGCCGAGUGAGUGAAGAAGGUUUUCGGAUCGUAAAGCUCUGUUGUAAGAGAAGAACGAGUGUGAGAGUGGAAAGUUCACACUGUGACGGUAUCUUACCAGAAAGGGACGGCUAACUACGUG
rnacentral:rRNA from 1 species